UACGUAGGGGGCAAGCGUUGUCCGGAUUUAUUGGGCGUAAAGAGCGUGUAGGCGGCCAGGUAGGUCUGCUGUGAAAACUCGAGGCUUAACCUCGAGCUGUCGGCGGAAACCAUCUGGCUAGAGUCCGGAAGAGGAGAAUGGAAUUCCCGGUGUAGCGGUGAAAUGCGCAGAUAUCGGGAAGAACACCCGUGGCGAAGGCGGUUCUCUAGUACGGUACUGACGCUGAGACGCGAAAGCGUGGGGAGCGAACAGG
rnacentral:rRNA from 1 species